GAUGAACGCUGGCGGAAUGCUUUACACAUGCAAGUCGAACGGUAGAGGGGGCAACCCCUUGAGAGUGGCGAACGGGUGAGUAAUAUAUCGGAACGUGCCCAGUCGUGGGGAUAACGUAGCGAAAGUUACGCUAAUACCGCAUACGAUCUAAGGAUGAAAGCGGGGGAUCGCAAGACCUCGCGCGAUUGGAGCGGCCGAUAUCAGAUUAGGUAGUUGGUGAGGUAAAGGCUCACCAAGCCAACGAUCUGUAGCUGGUCUGAGAGGACGACCAGCUACACUGGAACUGAGACACGGUCCAGACUCCUACGGGAGGCAGCAGUGGGAAUUUUGGACAACGGACGCAAGUCUGAUCCAGCAAUGCCGCGUGCAGGAUGAAGGCCUUCGGGUU
rnacentral:rRNA from 1 species